AGUGAACGCUGGCGGUAGGCCUAACACAUGCAAGUCGAACGGCAGCACAGUAAGAGCUUGCUCUUACGGGUGGCGAGUGGCGGACGGGUGAGGAAUACAUCGGAAUCUACUUUUUCGUGGGGGAUAACGUAGGGAAACUUACGCUAAUACCGCAUACGACCUACGGGUGAAAGCAGGGGAUCUUCGGACCUUGCGCGAUUGAAUGAGCCGAUGUCGGAUUAGCUAGUUGGCGGGGUAAAGGCCCACCAAGGCGACGAUCCGUAGCUGGUCUGAGAGGAUGAUAAGCCACACUGGAAGUGAGACAGGGUCCAGAGUCCUACGAGAGGCAGCAGUGGGGAAUAGUGGACAAUGGGCGCAAGCAUGAUACAGCCAUACCGCGUGGGUGACGAAGGCGUUCGGGUUGUAAAGACCUUUUGUUGGGAAAGAAAAGCAGCAGGUUAAUACCACGCGGUUGUGACGGUACCCAGAGAAUAAGCACCGGCUAACUACGUG
rnacentral:rRNA from 1 species